rnacentral:tRNA from 1 species
GGUUUUGUACUUUAAUAAAAAGGUUCGCUUUGCAUGUGAAGAUUGGGUUAGGUAACUCCAAAACCA